rnacentral:rRNA from 1 species
GGGAUUCCCCUAGUAACGGCGAGUGAAGCGGGAACAGCUCAAAUUUGAAAUCUGGCCUUCGGGUCCGAAUUGUAAUUUGCAGAGGAUGCUUUUGGUUAGGCACUUUCCGAGUUCCCUGGAACGGGACGCCUUAGAGGGUGAGAGCCCCGUACGGUUGGAUACCGAGCCUUUGUAAAGCUCCUUCGACGAGUCGAGUAGUUUGGGAAUGCUGCUCUAAAUGGGAGGUAAAUUUCUUCUAAAGCUAAAUACCGGCCAGAGACCGAUAGCGCACAAGUAGAGUGAUCGAAAGAUGAAAAGCACUUUGAAAAGAGGGUUAAAUAGCACGUGAAAUUGUUGAAAGGGAAGCGUUUAUGACCAGACUUUUUCCAGGCGGAUCAUCCGGUGUUCUCACCGGUGCACUUCGUCUGGUUGAGGCCAGCAUCGGUUUUCGUAGAGGGAUAAAAGCUUUAGGAAUGUGGUUCCUUCGGGAAUGUUAUAGCCUAUUGUAUAAUACCUUUAUGGGGACCGAGGUUCGCGCAUCUGCAAGGAUGCUGGCGUAAUGGUCAUCAACGACCC